rnacentral:rRNA from 1 species
UACGUAGGGUGCGAGCGUUAAUCGGAAUUACUGGGCGUAAAGGGUGCGCAGGCGGUCUUGUAAGUCAGAUGUGAAAUCCCCGGGCUUAACCUGGGAAUUGCGUUUGAAACUGUGAGACUAGAGUGUAGCAGAGGGGGGUGGAAUUCCAUGUGUAGCAGUGAAAUGCGUAGAGAUAUGGAAGAACAUCGAUGGCGAAGGCAGCCCCCUGGGUUAACACUGACGCUCAGGCACGAAAGCGUGGGGAGCAAACAGG